GGUUACAUCACGUUGAAACACCUGUUCCCGUCCGAUCGCCGAAGUUAAGCAACGUCGAGCCUAGUUAGUGCCUAGCUGGGAAUACCAGGCGCUGUAA